rnacentral:rRNA from 1 species
UACGUAGGGGGCAAGCGUUGUCCGGAAUCAUUGGGCGUAAAGCGCGUGUAGGCGGCCCGAUAAGUCCGCUGUGAAAGUCCAGGGCUCAACCCUGGGAUGCCGGUGGAUACUGUCGGGCUCGAGUCCGGAAGAGGCGAGUGGAAUUCCUGGUGUAGCGGUGAAAUGCGCAGAUAUCAGGAGGAACACCAGCGGCGAAGGCGGCGCUCUGGGCUGGAACUGACGCUGAGGAGCGAAAGCGUGGGUAGCAAACAGG